rnacentral:rRNA from 1 species
AUUGAACGCUGGCGGCAUGCCUUACACAUGCAAGUCGAACGGCAGCGCGGACUUCGGUCUGGCGGCGAGUGGCGAACGGGUGAGUAAUGUAUCGGAACGUACCAUUCAGUGGGGGAUAACGCAGCGAAAGUUGCGCUAAUACCGCAUAUUCUGUGCGCAGGAAAGCAGGGGAUCGCAAGACCUUGCGCUGAUUGAGCGGCCGAUAUCAGAUUAGCUAGUUGGUGAGGUAAGGGCUCACCAAGGCGACGAUCUGUAGCGGGUCUGAGAGGAUGAUCCGCCACACUGGAACUGAGACACGGUCCAGACUCCUACGGGAGGCAGCAGUGGGGAAUUUUGGACAAUGGGCGCAAGCCUGAUCCAGCCAUGCCGCGUGAGUGAAGAAGGCCUUCGGGUUGUAAAGCUCUUUCGGCCGGGAAGAAAUCGUAUGGGUUAAUACCCUGUGCGGAUGACGGUACCGGCAUAAGAAGCACCGGCUAACUACGUGCCAGCCGCCGCGGUAAGAC